GUGUAGAACGGAGAGAAAAUAUUUAUCGCAGUAGUGGCGUGACACGCAGUACAUGCAUUUAUAUUUUGUAGCGGGGCGCAUCGGCGCGCUCGAGAAAGAAUUCUUCAGUAAUAUUUCUGCUGGGAUGAAUAAAAAGCAGCACGAGAGAAAAGGUGACCGAAGCCCGAGCAUGUGUGUGGCGGGCAAGUGGCCACUGAUGUAUCAGCGCGUUAGCUCGGUUGAGGAAAAAACUGCCUUGUGGACACAUAACCCUGUGUGUUCAAUGUGUCGAUAUUGCGUGUGGCGUAUGUGAAAAAACAAUUGUUGGCCAAAUAAAAAUUGCAGGUUCACUCUGAUACAAAUAUUUGUUUUCAAUUAGUGACCUUUGAUCGUAAAGAGGGUGGAGCUUAAAUUAUUGUGGUAGGGCAGGGUCGUGCUUUUAAAAGCCCGUGUCUCAUGUUAAAUCGUCACUCCUGUCACUGUAUCCCGAUGGAGGACACACGAGAGCCACAUACAACGGAGGAGGAAGGCAGGCAGCAAUGCUGCAGCCACGAUCCAGAUAAUGCGAUGGUCAGAGAUGCUGAACUUUUCUGCGCGUUGAUAUACGGACUCAGAGGCGGCAACCCCGGCACAGCACCGCCUGCACAAUAUGUAUUGAGAAGAUCCAGUUUGUAAAUUUUGAAGAACCGCGUGAAUGUUACCACAUAGCCUCUCUCCGCAAGGCAUUUCAAUCGCAGAUAUGUAGUACGAUUUUAUUAUAUCAUUAAUCGCACAAAUAUUUCUUCAUCUGUUCAUGCUGUAUUUUAUUGUUGGGGUUAAUAAAAAAUGAAUAAAAAUGUUACAACUAGUGUUUAAUUUCACA